UCAGAAGGAGAAGAAGGUCCAGCAGCUGGGAGGCCAGACGUCAGAGAGGCUGGAGUCGGUUGUCCUGGGCCUCCCUAAGACAGAGAGCAUCUCUGCAGCCACCCAGUGGGGGAAGGAGUAUGUGAGGGCGGAGGUCUUUGCCCAGAGCUCCUGCACAUGCUGGUACAAUGGAGCAUAUGGGAGUUGGAGUCUGGAUACCUGCAAAAUAUUCCAGCUCCACUCUGUGUGACCUCAGAUGAGGAACCCCAGCAGUCAGGCUCUGGAGACCUGUGCUACACUGCCGUGGAAUGCUGUAGGAUGUUGUGGGAUGCUGCCCAUGUCCCCCUUCAGACAGGACUGUGACUGCCAAGCAAGUGACCUACAUAAGCUGGAACCCAGCAACAACCAACGGUUCCAUCCAGAUCCAGGAGGUCAAACCUCAGAAGAGGAGCUCAUAGACUGAAAUCUGGUCAUUCAGGGCAAGGAGGGGAAGGAAGUACGCUCCAGGAAAUCUCCCUGAGCUGGAAGAAUGCAGCUGUUAGCUCCAUACCACUUAGGAAUAAAGGAUAAUAGCUACAAAAUGAAUGCAUUGACCUUAGAUGAGCAAAGCUGGCCCCAGUGAGCUAAAGACUAGUAAGAUUAGCCGGUUCUCUGGGAUAAGGGAGACUGUCAGGUUUGCAAGACAAGUUAAUGCUAUGUGGGUUAGAACUCAUGAGUCAGCUGGCUGAGCUGGAUCACUGGCCACCACAAGUGCAGUCGAGAGUAAAGAACUUGCGUAGAAUUGGUUUGGAAAAGGCAAGCAGGGAGAGUGUGUGGCCAGAAGUCUCACUGUGCAGUUACGUACGGACAUGGUCAGUGCCCAGUCCUGCUGCACCCGCUGGAAGAGUUCUGGGCUGAGCUCUGCAAGAGGGGCUUUUCCUUGAGCCAGCGGAGAGUCCAUGAACAGAAAGAGAGCCAUGUGAUGGCAGAAGCAUGCCGAGGUUGGUGCUUCUGGGAACUGUUGGUCAGAAACCCGACGCCAGGGUGCAGCCGGGUAGAUGAGGAAAGGACAGCAGUGGCAGCCCAUGGGCGAGGGACGUUGGAGACAUGCUGGACCAGGUAUGUGGAGAUGGGGGAGAGGGGCACAGAACAAAGACCAGAAGGGGUUUCCCUUGGUUCCUGUGAACUCGAUGGUAGCUACUUUAAAGAGCUGCCUGGGGUCAGAUCAUCAGCUGAUGGGCAUUUCCACCGGACAAGUUCCAGAGAAGGAGGGAAUGCCUUUUGCAGACAGGGUCUCUAACUGGGAAAAUGGACAUUUGGUCAACAGAGCAUUACACGUAAUCACCGUGAGCUAGCACCCGAAGCAUACCAAAGGUCUUCUGCAGAGUCAAACCUGUUCCAAAUGGAAUCCUUUUCUCCCUUGGAAAAUGGAAAAUAAGUUGAGUCCUCGCUUUAACAAAGCAGAGCAUAGGGGUGAAGGGGCAUUUUCUUCCAGGGAAGGAUCUGGUACCCAUCACCCAGUGAUGGAGGCAGUCAGCACUAGGACCAUGUGUUAAGGCGAGAAAGCGAGAAUGUCUUCAUUUGUACAAAGGAAGUUUCUGCUUGUCCUCCAAAGCAUAGUUAUUUUGUUAUUUUAUAGAAGCUCAAUAUACACAGAAGAAUUGAGAGGGGCUGAGCAGCUGAAGGGGCGGAACACGCUGGUUAUGACCUACGUUCCCUAAUCUUCCACCCUUUUGUGUCGGUUUAUAUCGCUGUGCCUGGAACUCUGCAAACCAGAUUUCUCUUCUGCCAGCUCGCCCUGUUAGGAUCUUCUCACAGAGGCUCUAUAGGGCAGCCAGAAGGCUGGAGAGGCGAGGGAUUUCUUCCUUCCUGUUUGCUUUCUGGAACAGUCAUUAGCUAAAAAAGAGCUUCGGUAAACCGUGCUAGCUCACGGUGAUUACGGCACCCGUUAAAAAAACAUCCGUUUUCCCAGUUAGAGACCCUGUCCUCAGAAAGUAUUCCCUCCUCUGGAACUUGUCCAGGAGAAAUCCCCAUCAGCUGAUGAUGUCAGCGCCAGCCUAGCAACCAUUCUUCCUGUGACAUCAAUACUUGACUUCAGCAGCAAUGGUGACUGCAGUUUGUAGCUCUUUCCUACACUCCCCCUUGAUGUGCCCAAUGAUGUCCUUAGAGAAAACCACCGCCAGCCAGCUGACACCUCCUGAGAGGUCCCGGGCUCUGUGCCGCUGUAGACCUCCUCAGAGCUGCGACCACACCAGCACCAGCCAGCCAGUGCCCCGUCCACCAGGGUCUGGCUUCCAGCUCCCCGCGCGUCUCUCCUUGGAGCAAAAACUCCACAUUAUCCCAACGACUUUUCCCUCCCAGCCCUGGGAGAGGCAGUGGCUUGCUGCAGUUUCUGUCCAGGAAAAUUGCAGUGUUCCCUUUCAACUUUUCCGUCUCUCAAUCAUUGGUUAACGAUUCCAUAUGCUAAAUUCUCUCUCUUAGAAUAACUAUGGUUGUUUCUAUUUUUUCUACUCAGGUCCUAACUGUUACUUACACCACUGGCUUUUCGGACAUCCUCACACACUCUUUUAGGAGAUUAAGCCCUCCCCCCAGCUGAAAAAUCACUGCUAUAAUUGGGGUGCUCACAUGUCCCAGUGUCCCUGAAACAAUACUGGUUCGUGCGUGUUGUCUUAGCAUAAUUAGUAAUAGCGUCCUGAAAUACAAAGUUCCCUUGGAUCAUGGGAGCCACUGUUAUUCACAGGAAUGUUGGCUAUCCCUCAAGUAUAUUGUGGGGCAAGAAAAUAAGAACCACUGCUAUAAAGGUAUAGUCAUCAAAACAGUAUGCUACUGACAUAAAAACGGACUCAUAGACCAAUGGAACAGAACUGAGAGUCCAGGAAUAAUUUCAUGUGUGAACAGUCAAAUAUUUGACAGGGGAGUCAAGAACACUCAAUGGGGAGAGGAUAGUCUCUUCCAUAAGUGGCCUUGGGAAAACUAGAUAUUCACAUGCAAAAGAAUGAAAUUGGACUCCUGUCUUAUGCCAGUCAAAGAAAUUAACUUGAAAUGCAUUAAAGACUUAAAUGUAAGACCUGAAAACUUAAAAGCUUCUCGACAUUCGUCUUGGCCACAAUUUCUUGGCUAUGAUACCAAAAGAAACAAAAGCAAAAACAGGGGGCGCCUGGGUGGCUCAGUGGGUUAGGCCUCUGCCUUCUGC